GGCAGAGGAACGGAACUUCCCUUUGUGGAAGUUCCUGGAUCUUCCAGAGCCUGGGGAGUUUUCCUCUUCCUUGGAUUCCAGGAGAUAUGUUAAUAUUCUUUUAAUAAAUGCCUUUUUUGUGUAGAAAUGCUUGUUUGGUUUCUGAUAGUUGUAACCUAAAAAAUCUUUAGUAAGCCAUUGGUCUGCUGUGGGGAGCGUCGAGAUGAAACUGGAACGUUGUUUGAACCUAGAUCAUAAAGUGACUCCAACAUCUUCAUACCAGGGAGAGGAGGAAGCUGUGCUGUGAAGGAUCCUUUUUCAUCAUGAUUAUUGCAUCCACAGAAGCAGUGAUAAAUUCUAACAGAUAAUGCAACUCAGUCUACUUGGAUGUUCACACCUGAGACUGGAGAAGACCUGCUGCCUUCUGCAGAGCCAAACAUUCCUCACAUGCUCCUCCACAAUGCUAGUUAAUGCAGCAAGAAUAGUCUUAUAUAGACUAUAAACUCCUGGUACACUGUGUCUACAUUGCUCACUGCAGUAUCCCAACAUCUAAGACCAUGGUCUUAGAUGUCUGGUACAGGACUGGUGCUCAGUAUGCAUUGAAUGAAUAAAUGAAUGAAUAUAGCAAAGCAUUCCA
ensembl:lncRNA LINC03004 long intergenic non-protein coding RNA 3004